AAUAGGGCAGGGCUGAUGGGCAUUGAGCCCCUGCACAGUCCACCCACAAGCCCCUGGAGCCUAAGGGAUAAAUCCUCGCUCUCCUCUGUCUCCUGGUUUAGGUGAUCUUUGACGAGACUCUACAGAAGUGCCUGGACUCCUACCUGCACUAUGUCCCCCGCAAAUUCGAUGAGGGGGUGGCCUCAGCCCCUGAGGUUGUUGACAUGCAGAAGCGCCUCCAUCGAAGUGUUUUUCUCACCUUCCUCCGCAUGUCCACUCACAAGGAAUCCAAAGAUCACUUCAUUUCCCCUUCUGCGUUUGGAGAAAUCCUCUACAAUAACUUCCUCUUUGACAUUCCAAAGAUCCUGGACCUCUGUGUGCUCUUUGGAAAAGGCAACUCACCACU
rnacentral:sRNA from 1 species